rnacentral:lncRNA from 8 species
CUUUUAUGAUUCUGUCAAAACAUAAUGUAGCUAGCUAUUCAUGGGUUGCACCUCGGUCGCGUCGCCGCAUCAUAUUGAUGAUCAGUCUUUCUGAACUGGGGCUAAUGACAUUGCUAAAGUAGACAACAUUUGUAGAAAACAAAAUUGGCAUCAUUAUGAUGUCAAGUUUACCUAAGAAAUGGCAGUGUUGGCAUCAUGAGCUAGCGAAGUUCGGCAGAAAAAGCUAGCAAUGCUAACGUUAGGCUAACUGAAAUAUCGAUGCUCUCCCCUCAAUUGUAGCUAGUUAGCUGAAGUUAUACUGCAUCUAAAGUCAAUCUGGCGACAUUACAAUGAUGACAAAAGCUUGUCCUACUGAUUAUUUUCCUCCUUUUCAAAUGUCAUUGUGUUUCCAAGCCACGGUAAUGCACUUCAUAUAAUAUGUUCAUCAACACCAAGACCACAUUAAAUUGAAUGCUCAGCUGGGCAUCAGUCGAAUAAAACGAAUGUUCAAAACAAUAUUGUAUGACGAAACGUGCAACCCAGGAAUAUAAUUAAACUACAUCAUGUUAUGACACGACAUUUGCCGUGGUUAACUGUGUUCCAUUUGUUUUGAAUCUAAGCAACUGCUACAAUGCCGAAGAGAGGGAGAAAGAAGAAGAGGUCAACCCCUGUAACCAUCGAGAACGCCAGGAACAAUGAGGCGACACCUGAUUCGAUACGCCGUUACGCAGGAAAGAUUGUGGAAUACAUUGCCCAGUCAACCACUGCUUUCUCUCAGGAAGAUGUUUCCGGUGUAGGCCUACAUAACAUCUUGGGGAAGACGGUAGAGGGCCUUCUCCAAAAAGUGUGCGGAGGGGUCUCAAGCGUCCUGAACAAAUAUUUGUAUGGGGUGGGGGUGUUGUCUGAUGCGGUGAUCCCAGUAAAUCUCUUGCCUGUGGCUCCAAAUGGGGACAAUCAGAAAAUGGAAAAAAGAUGGCAGGACUGCACUGAGGAAGACUGUGAACUGAUAAUUAUCAGACUGACAGGGACUGUAAUUAUCACCAUGUUGGAUAGUGUUAUGGAGAGUUGCAGGACGGACCCCACACACAGUUCAUUCUUAGAAGAACUGGGGCUCACCAUGGAAAUGGUGAAGAUCAUACGUGACGUAGCAGAAUGUGCAGCAAACGCCACAAGUAAUGAUUUCAGCCAGUUCACAGUCGGAGGAGUUCCUCUCUUUCAGAGACCACUGAGCAAUCUCUCUUCUGGGCCCAGUCAACCAGCACCCCCCCAAAAUGCCUUGGCAACAUCCACUGUUCCCACACCUGUCUCAAAGGUGAGCUCAGCCAGUCCCAGAUCCAAUGACUCAGGGUCCUCACAAGUCAGGAAGCCAAGACAAUCAACAGAAGGAGUUCAGAGCCUCUCCGAAAGGCAGCAGGACUCAGGGGAGGAGAUCACAUCUCUAGUGAUUGAAACCAUUCUACGGUCAGUUGCGGAUUUAGCCAGGCAUGGACUUCUGCCAAGCUGCACCCAGUAGACUGGAUGCCCCCUUUUUAUGGAGGUGAUGCAGAAAACAAACGUGAAGCCAAUUCAUAAAAGCAUUAAUUAAACAAAUAUGUUGUUAAAAG